GUGGGUGUAGCUCAGUUGGUAGGGCGCUUACUUAGGAUGCAUGAGGUUCUGAGUUCUAUCCCCAGCACUGCAUA
rnacentral:tRNA from 1 species